GAUGGACGCUGGCGGCGUGCCUAAUACAUGCAAGUCGAGCGAACAGACGAGGAGCUUGCUCCUCUGACGUUAGCGGCGGACGGGUGAGUAACACGUGGAUAACCUACCUAUAAGACUGGGAUAACUUCGGGAAACCGGAGCUAAUACCGGAUAAUAUAUUGAACCGCAUGGUUCAAUAGUGAAAGACGGUUUUGCUGUCACUUAUAGAUGGAUCCGCGCCGCAUUAGCUAGUUGGUAAGGUAACGGCUUACCAAGGCAACGAUGCGUAGCCGACCUGAGAGGGUGAUCGGCCACACUGGAACUGAGACACGGUCCAGACUCCUACGGGAGGCAGCAGUAGGGAACCUUCCGCAAAGGGCGAAAGCCUGACGGAGCAACGCCGCGUGAGUGAUGAAGGUCUUCGGAUCGUAAAACUCUGUUAUUAGGGAAGAACAAAUGUGUAAGUAACUAUGCACGUCUUGACGGUACCUAAUCAGAAAGCCACGGCUAACUACGUG
rnacentral:rRNA from 1 species